rnacentral:rRNA from 1 species
AUUGAACGCUGGCGGCAUGCCUUACACAUGCAAGUCGAACGGCAGCACGGGUGCUUGCACCUGGUGGCGAGUGGCGAACGGGUGAGUAAUACAUCGGAACAUGUCCUGUAGUGGGGGAUAGCCCGGCGAAAGCCGGAUUAAUACCGCAUACGAUCUACGGAUGAAAGCGGGGGACCUUCGGGCCUCGCGCUAUAGGGUUGGCCGAUGGCUGAUUAGCUAGUUGGUGGGGUAAAGGCCUACCAAGGCGACGAUCAGUAGCUGGUCUGAGAGGACGACCAGCCACACUGGGACUGAGACACGGACCAGACUCCUACGGGAGGCAGCAGUGGGGAAUUUUGGACAAUGGGCGAAAGCCUGAUCCAGCAAUGCCGCGUGUGUGAAGAAGGCCUUCGGGUUGUAAAGCACUUUUGUCCGGAAAGAAAUCCUUGGCCCUAAUACGGUCGGGGGAUGACGGUACCGGAAGAAUAAGCACCGGCUAACUACGUG